CUUCAGGCCCCCUUGCAGUGUCUUGUGGGCUAACGUGGAUUGCCCCUCCAUCCCUCCAGUCUUAGCGUCUUGUGGGGCUGGCAGGUAGGGGUUGCAUCUGGUGCCUUGGCUUGAGGCAGAAGUUUUAGAGUCUUGCAGAAGUGCUUGCCUAGGGAUGUGUAUUGUAAAUAGAGCUCCCUUUCUUAGCCGCCUUGGGUCCAGAGAUCCUUUCAGUGCCGUUUCAGAAAUCCCAGCCACCAAAUGUUCCUGUCACUGUUGCCCAUUUCACAGCUUUACUGCACAGCUUUACCCAGAGGUUCUUCACUUCAAAAGGUUCUCAUCACAGACAUCCACAUCAUAGAGAUCAUGUCAGUGCUGCUCCAGAAAUCAGUGAAUGCUGCCCUAAAGAUUCCUGAUGCUGCUGUUCCAGAACCUCCUGAACUCAGAGAGGUCAGAGUCCAGGGUGUCCGCGGGGUUUUAAAAAGUAUUAAAAAGUGAUAAAUCAAAAUUGUCAAAUUUAAGGCCAUUAAAAGUGUUAAAUGUGGUCUCAGAGGUAUUAUUUUUUUCCAAAUUAGGUAUUAUUUUUUCAGACUAUCAGGUGUCCUAUUCUGAUUGAAAUUCUAUCUGCGUUCGCGUUAGUUCGUUUAAAUAUGGGCUUUAGCAUAUCUGGGCACAUAAUCAAAGAUCUUUCGUCUCCGUCUCAACGUAUGUUUGAUGCUGACGUCAUAUUCAGUGGUCGUUCGGCAUCAUCUCAGAACACUGCACGCUCAACAGAAGUGGCUGGCUUACGUUUUAUUUUAGACUUGCUUCAAGGCAUAUCUUCAAGGCAUAUCUUCAACGACUGGACAACCAUCGACGUCUUCAUGGGCAAAUGCAAGUUUUCUAAUAGCUGGGUUAACGACCCAGCGUUUAAGGACUGGCUCAGGCCUGUAGUAGGGAAUAACAGGCAGGCUUAUUGUUCGGUGUAUAAAAAAAAAUUAAUGUCAACUGGAUGGGAGCUAACGCACUUCGGUCGCAUAUGCAAUCCACUAAACAUAAAAAUGGAAUGCGUGCUCGGAGAGAGCAGUUAAUUCUACCAAUCUCAGCUGUCUGUGCGACUGCACCUCCACCACCACCGCCGCAAAUUAGUGCCACUGAAGGCCUACUGGCCAACGCUACGGCUCCAGCAACGUCUGACCUCCGGGUGGUCAUGGGCGCCACACCAACACUGCGCGCGGAGGCUCUGUGGUGUCUGAACAUUGCAGUUAAUCACCACUCAUUGAACUCCAAUGAAGGAAUUUCGGAGCUGUUUAAAGAAAUGUUUUACAUCGCGAAGUCAUUCACGUGUGGUAAAGACAAAACCGGGUACAUCAUCAGAUUUGGAUUAGCAUCGUUCUUCAAAAAACAGUUUGUGGGUGGCAUCAACAAGGCUGGGCCAUUCGUGUUGAUGUUUGAUGAGAGCCUCAAUCAGGCGUCAAAGAAAAAACAACUUGACAUCCAUGUUCGAUACUGGGAGGAUGACCGUGUCCAAUCCAGAUACUUUGGAUAUCAGUUUUUGGGACAUGGAAGGGCCGAAUAUUUGUUGCAUCACAUAAAGGAAUGUCACACAAUUGAAUAUGAGGCAACUGCUAUCAGUUGGAAUGGAUGGCCCCAAUGUGAAUUUCAAGUUGGUGGAUCUACUCCAGAAAGAACAUGCAGAGCUCUAUGGAGGUGCCCAGGUUGUCACUGUUGGAAGCUGUGGACUUAUAGCACAAGUGCAAACAAUAGUUCACCAGUUCAUAGAAGAUGCCAGUUUGUGAAUCCGCAACAGUUCAUAGAAGAUGCCAGUUUGUGAAUCCGCAACAGUUCAUAGAAGAUGCCCGUUUGUAAUGCAUCAACUUGCAAUGAAUGCCAGCCAGUGUGCUGGAACUAUCCAUUCUCUCCAUUGCACAUUUUAUGUAAUUUGUUUUAUUUUUAUUUACUAAGUGAAAUAAAUGUGCAAUAUGUUGUCA
ensembl:lncRNA